AAAGUCGUAACAAGGUCUCCGUAGGUGAACCUGCGGAGGGAUCAUCAAAGAAUUUCCAAAACCACAAAGUGUUCCUCUCCUUUGGGGGAGUGAAUGCUUUCAAACAAACGAUCACAACUAACUAUGGGAAAUAAUUGGAUUGGAAACUAAAAAAAGUGUUUGCCUGAUAAUUUGAUUGGAAAAAAGAGAAAAAUACAACUUUCAACAACGGAUCUCUUGGCUCUC
rnacentral:misc_RNA from 1 species